rnacentral:lncRNA from 1 species
UUAAUAUGAAUUUAACUUAAUAUGAUUAUGAAGGUUAAUACCGUUUACACGACAUUACAGAAAUUUCUCUUCUCAAAAUAAAGAUUCUUAAUCAUCUCCUUUCUCAAAAAAAAUUUGAAUCCCCAAAUACCUUUCCUCAAAAUGAUUUUUAAUCAAACAAAAUUUAAAACACCAAAAAUCAUGUAAACAUGUAAUGCAAUGAAUAAAAUUAAGCAACAAGCACCUAUCAAAGCAUUACACUAAAGAUCAAAAUGACUAAGACGAGGAGCAAGGAAAGAUAUCACCUUCCGGAUCCAAACUUGUCGGAUCAUUGGUUUUCUCGGCUUGUCGACGUUAGGUGCCGUUUGUUUAGACUUUCGAUCAACCGUUGGAGGUUUCUUCGGUUGAGGCUUUGGUUGAACUUGUCGUUUAAGCUUAGAAUUCCGGUUUGCUUUAAAAUUCGGUUGGAUUUGGCGUUGCACAAUAGAAUACCGAUUCUCUUGAAGUGAUCUACUCAAAUGAUUUAACUUUUGAUUCCGUGGGGGAUGUCGAGUUGUAGACGAUGUCGAUUGAGGUUUUGAGAGUGUCGAUCGAUGUGUAGACAAUGCCAAUUGUUUCUUCUUUUCCUUAUUUGGGCAAUUCCUUUUAAUAUGUCUGUUGAUGCCACAUUUAUGACAUACUUUGCCUUUCGAAGUUGUUGAGGCAUUAGAAGACGCGGUUGAUGCCUUCUCAACAUAUGUGCGUUCAUAACCGAGUCCAAGCUUGUUCGUUUGACCCAAUCCAAGCAUAUGGUCCAAUUUCUUUGAUCCGGAAGAAAAUCGUUGAAGAUCGGAUUGGAGUUGACGAACUUGAUCGGUCAAGACUUGAUUGGACUUGUGCGAUUCAUGAAAUUGAUGCUCCAAAAAUUCAAUCUUGUCAUUAGAAGAUUUGAUCGUAGAUUCCGCAUCAUUAAGCUUCUGUUGGAGGUCCGAAUUAAUCUUCAAACUUGAAUCUCUUUCCUCCUCAAGUGACUUAUUCAAACUCUUUACGUUGUUGUUUUCUUCUUCAAGAUUCAACAUACGACGCCUCAACUUCUUAUUUAACUUAGCCAUCUUCUUUGAUUCAAUAAGAAGUAGGUUGUAAGCUUCCGCUAUAUCCUCGUCGUUCGAAUCCUCCCCGCUUUCCCCGUUGUCACUCGAUGAAUCAUGCGAGAAAAAAGAAACAUUAGAAUUAGUAGCGAUAGAGGAUAAACACACAACAUUUGACGAAGGUGUAUUAGCAAACAAGGCAAUUUGAUCAUUCUUCUCUUCGUCACUUGACGAUGAAUCACUUGAUGUUGAAUCAUCCCACGUCUUUGCUUGCAUAGCCUUUUGUCUAUACGUCUUCUUCGAAGGACAAUCCGUCGCAAUGUGGCCAAAACCUUUGCAUUUGUAGCAUUGGAUCUCUCCUUCAAAUUCAUCCUUUUCCUUUGAAGACUUUGCACGGUUUUUAUCCUUAGACUUUGAAGAUGAAGAUGAUUUAGGCAAAGAUUGUCGCUUAGAUGUUGAAGCCUUGUUUAAUCUAUUCUUGUUCCGGAAAUUUCGACGAAACUUCUUCGUGAGGAGUGCUAAUUGAUGUUCAAAAUCCGCAAUUGAUAACUCGUCGUCGGAACUCGAGUCUUCGUCCUUCUCCUUUGUAGAUUUCAAUGCAACCCCUGUGCUUUUAUAGAAAGACUUGGAAGAAGAUUGAUUAGUAGGAAAAGUCAUCUCAUACGUUUGCAAAGCUCCUACUAAUUCUUCUACUUUCAUCUCGUCCGGAUGUUUGACCGUUUCGAUCGCGGCUACUUUAGCCCGAAAGCGUUCCGGAAGAGUUCAAAGAAUCUUUCGCACAACUUUAGCAUCCGGGAUUUUUUCUUUAAACCCUAUGAGAUGUUCAAUGCGUACUUCCUUGUUCGAAUCAUUUCCAGGUUUUUAACGUUUACGAUUGAUCGUUCAAACUAAGUUAAAAAUACCUGCUUUUGCUCUGGAAAUGGCUCAUGAUAUGCGCAGAUGUUCUGCACCAGUUAUGUACGCGAUUGAACCCCCUCUNNNNNNNNNNNNNNNNNNNNNNNNNNNNNNNNNNNNNNNNNNNNNNNNNNNNNNNNNNNNNNNNNNNNNNNNNNNNNNNNNNNNNNNNNNNNNNNNNNNNNNNNNNNNNNNNNNNNNNNNNNNNNNNNNNNNNNNNNNNNNNNNNNNNNNNNNNNNNNNNNNNNNNNNNNNNNNNNNNNNNNNNNNNNNNNNNNNNNNNNNNNNNNNNNNNNNNNNNNNNNNNNNNNNNNNNNNNNNNNNNNNNNNNNNNNNNNNNNNNNNNNNNNNNNNNNNNNNNNNNNNNNNNNNNNNNNNNNNNNNNNNNNNNNNNNNNNNNNNNNNNNNNNNNNNNNNNNNNNNNNNNNNNNNNNNNNNNNNNNNNNNNNNNNNNNNNNNNNNNNNNNNNNNNNNNNNNNNNNNNNNNNNNNNNNNNNNNNNNNNNNNNNNNNNNNNNNNNNNNNNNNNNNNNNNNNNNNNNNNNNNNNNNNNNNNNNNNNNNNNNNNNNNUUGAGCUUUGUUACGUUUUAGGGUUUUUAACGUAACACAUGGCCAUGUCGUUAGUUCGGGCAUGGCCAUGUCGGUGACUGAACCGAAGCAUAAAGACAAGGCAGGAACACAUUGGCCACUGUCGAAAAGCACAUGGCCAUGUGUCACAUUUUAGCACUUUAGAAAGAUUAGGCUGAGGUUAACUAAGAUUUCAGAUAUUUAUUCGAUAACCCGAAGAGAUUGUCUAGUUCGUAGUAUUCUUAUGUACAAACUCUUUGGGAUCUCCGGACCUAAAGUAGAUUUUGGAUAAAAGAUGUAUAAUCGGAGAAAAUCCAGUUUAGCCUUAUAAUAUUAAACUAUAGAUAUACGGCUAAACUAGAGGCGAAACGAACCUCAAAGAAAAGGACCAAAAGAUGCUAUGAGGAUUCGCUUCCUAGUGGUAUUAGUACUACGAGAAGUACUGCCGCAGCACCUAAGCCGCACAAACUGUCCCCAAGCACCAAAGCCUAGCACCCGAGCACCUAAGCUCACCGCAGCACCUAAGCCGCACUAACUUCGAAGCACCUAAGCUUCACCUCCGCAAGCACCUGAGCUUGCACUCCCGCACCUGUACACUUCCGAAGCACUUUCUAAUCAACUAAACUUUUGAUUAAAUGAUUCUAAUGCCUAUAACUAAGUAUGAAUCACCAUAACAUGAAUUAAAACUUUACCUGACCAUCGUGAUUCACGUCGUGAGGUAUUUUCUGAUUUUUUCCAAAAUCUUGAAUUCUUUGAUCUUUGUCAAUUCGCUUCGAUUCUUCAAGACUCUGACUCACUUCACGAAACUUGCCAAUACAAAAUCCUUAACAAAAAGCCCCAAUUUGGGUGCCCUAACUCAUAGCAUAUAUCAAACCUAGGGUUUGAUCUCAUUAGGAAGCAAAAGAAGCUUCAAUCUACUCUAGAGACUCCAUUAAAACCAUUCUUAGCUCAAUCCAAACUCUAGUUUGGAUUCUACCAUGAGAGGGGUGAAGCUCACCUCUAAGCUUCAUCACAUAUAUCCAAACCAUGGUUUUGAUCUCUUAAAGAAGCAAAAGAAAGCUUCAAAUACUCAAAAGGUUCUACUAAAACCAUUUCUAGGUCAUUUGGUUCUCAUUCUAGGGUUUUACCAUAAAUAGGGUUCAAGCUUACCUCUAAGCUUGCUCCUAUGUUGCUCCAAAGAGGAAGAAGAGGAAGUAGCUCUACUCCUUAGCUUCUCCUUCACCUUCUACUCCUUCUCCUUCUUCUUCUUUUCCCUUUCUUUCCUUUCUUUUCUUCUUCUCCUUCUUGUCUUCCAGAGAGAGAAAGAGAGGAGAGAGUGUGUGAGAGGGAGAGAAUGGGAGAAAACACCUCAUAACCCCCUCAACAUAACCCAUUUGUUAUAUAAUUGCAAAUAAACUCCUCAGCUUUUAUCUUAUUAAACUGCUCAAACUGGGCAGAAUUUGUGUUCGGGGAUCGGUCUCCCCGACUUGGGACCGGUCCCAGAGAGCUCUCCCCGAAGCUGGCAGAGCUCCAGCCUGAUGCAACCGGUCUCUCUCUGGGUGACCGGUCUCUUGGGGAUCGGUCUCUCUCGCAGGGACUGGUUCCCGAGAGCUGGUUUUCUGGGACUUAGCCGAUUUUCAGCUUUCUCAAUUUUCACUCGUUCGGGGACCGGUCUCUCCCACCAGGGACCGGUCCCCGAGAGCACAAAAUCUGCAGAAUGCAGAUUUUUGAUUAUUUUGCUCUCGAACACCUCCCACAAUGCACUUUUGAUCAUUUUAACACCUUCGGACUUUUUGAAGUGUACCAUCCUCGCACUUUGGUCAAUUUGACUAAAGUUUGAUAUUUAUUUUUUAAAUUUUCGGUAUAUUACAAUGGCACUUUUGUUAACUUUGUCCAAACAUGAGUUUAGUGAUCAAGAAUACAUAAUUUGAGUCAUUUUCAUCAUAUGAGAUAUAUUUCCAACUUGCAAUAUAGAAUACUUUUCACAUGCAUGCCUAAUACACAUAUGGCUUUACUACAUAGAGUUAAAUUUUCACGAUACAUAACACAUGCAUUUUAAGUAUUUUAAAAUUCAUAAAAAUUCUAUCUAGCAUGAAUAUGCAUGCAUCUCGAUUAAAUGACAAGGAUAAAACACAUAGGGGAUAUUUCUCCCCUAUUUUAUGAAGUCAAACCCACCGAAACUCUUGGCCGCCCUUUGUUUGUGCUGAUGAAGGUGCCCGCUACUCUCUUAGCACCCUAAAGGUAAAGAAAAGAGAGAUACACGAACAUUACGAACAAUCCUAAGUUCGAUCAUUAAACAACUCAAGCAAAAGGGCAAAAACUCACCGAAUGCGAAGGAAACUCUCUCGAUCUCCAAAUGGGAGUUAGAGUCCUUCCAAACCAACCUAAAUAAAGAUUCUAAGCCCAUCAAUUUGGUUCCAAAAUCCUUAAAUCAAAAAUUCCCAUUUCUAACCCUAAAUCUCCAAUUCUAGGGUUACAACAUCAAAAUCCUCCAAAACAUGAUCCAGAGGAGAGAUUUUGGAUAGUAACCUCACAAGAUGCUCCAAACCAAGCUUGGAAUGCCCCAAGGUUGAAGAUCCUUCCUCUACCAAGCUCUAACAAAAGCAUUAAAGCUUCUCCAAUUGUGGAAUCCCAACCAAGAGCAAAGAGAAGCAAUGAGAGGAGAUCAAAACUAGCUAAAACCAAGCAAAAUGGAGCAAAAAUCAAAGAAGAAAGCUGUAACACACUGGACCUUUGCGAAUUGCGAGGUUCGAGUGAUUGGCCGUGUUCUGAGCUUUUCCAGAUUUUCUGGUGCCCGUAAUGCUAGUAGAUAUUCUAGUUUGUAAUUGUUAAUAUCGUGUUCCCGAUUUUGAGUGGAUUACUCACCUUUUAGAGAGGGUUCGAGGUUUAUUCUCGAUUUAGGGAAGGUUAGGUUAGAUCCCUUUCCAAGAUUAGGUUUUCUAAAUCGGGGUUUUCGGGAUCUUAGUUUUACGGGUUUUAUUCGGGAUUAAGAGGUUAGAUCCCAAAGUAGAACUUAGGUAGUUGUUUUUAGUUUAGAUCUCUCUCUCUCGUUCAUCUAAUGGAGAAUCUUCGAGGUUAGGUUCGAGAUUUGAGAGGUUCAGGUUCCUAGAGGGGAGUUGUUUCGAGGUUUUGUUUCGGGGUUUCCACCUUUUCGGAGGUUAGUUCGUUUUCUUCGUUUUCUCUCCAAAUUAGAGAAUUUUAGGAUGGUUUUAGGUUUAUCUAGUUUUCUUUUAGUUACUCCCGAGGGAAUGGAGAGGAGAACGACCAGGGUUCGAGUCCUCUUCUGGGGAUCCCGCACCCCCCAUGAUUAUUCUUCAGGUGUUAGCGUUUUUCGGGGGAUGUUAAGUUUGACGUGCUUUAGUCGGGGGAACAUGGCCAUGUGCCCGAGAACAUGGCCAUGUUCCAGGUGCUUUAGGUUUGGGCUCCGAGCCCAACGACCCGAGACGCCGAGACAUGGCCAUGUUCGAGGCUACCGACAUGGCCAUGUUGGUAGUUGGAACAUGGCCAUGUUCGUGUUGGAACAUGGCCAUGUCCGGAUGGUCUUGAGUUAGGCUCUCAGUCGGUUUAGGGCAAAAAAACCUAAAACCACAUUCCGAAACAUGGUGUUUAGAACCCUGUGCACGGUAUCCAGCCUUGUGUCAGUUGCUGGGNNNNNNNNNNNNNNNNNNNNNNNNNNNNNNNNNNNNNNNNNNNNNNNNNNNNNNNNNNNNNNNNNNNNNNNNNNNNNNNNNNNNNNNNNNNNNNNNNNNNNNNNNNNNNNNNNNNNNNNNNNNNNNNNNNNNNNNNNNNNNNNNNNNNNNNNNNNNNNNNNNNNNNNNNNNNNNNNNNNNNNNNNNNNNNNNNNNNNNNNNNNNNNNNNNNNNNNNNNNNNNNNNNNNNNNNNNNNNNNNNNNNNNNNNNNNNNNNNNNNNNNNNNNNNNNNNNNNNNNNNNNNNNNNNNNNNNNNNNNNNNNNNNNNNNNNNNNNNNNNNNNNNNNNNNNNNNNNNNNNNNNNNNNNNNNNNNNNNNNNNNNNNNNNNNNNNNNNNNNNNNNNNNNNNNNNNNNNNNNNNNNNNNNNNNNNNNNNNNNNNNNNNNNNNNNNNNNNNNNNNNNNNNNNNNNNNNNNNNNNNNNNNNNNNNNNNNNNNNNNNNNNNNNNNNNNNNNNNNNNNNNNNNNNNNNNNNNNNNNNNNNNNNNNNNNNNNNNNNNNNNNNNNNNNNNNNNNNNNNNNNNNNNNNNNNNNNNNNNNNNNNNNNNNNNNNNNNNNNNNNNNNNNNNNNNNNNNNNNNNNNNNNNNNNNNNNNNNNNNNNNNNNNNNNNNNNNNNNNNNNNNNNNNNNNNNNNNNNNNNNNNNNNNNNNNNNNNNNNNNNNNNNNNNNNNNNNNNNNNNNNNNNNNNNNNNNNNNNNNNNNNNNNNNNNNNNNNNNNNNNNNNNNNNNNNNNNNNNNNNNNNNNNNNNNNNNNNNNNNNNNNNNNNNNNNNNNNNNNNNNNNNNNNNNNNNNNNNNNNNNNNNNNNNNNNNNNNNNNNNNNNNNNNNNNNNNNNNNNNNNNNNNNNNNNNNNNNNNNNNNNNNNNNNNNNNNNNNNNNNNNNNNNNNNNNNNNNNNNNNNNNNNNNNNNNNNNNNNNNNNNNNNNNNNNNNNNNNNNNNNNNNNNNNNNNNNNNNNNNNNNNNNNNNNNNNNNNNNNNNNNNNNNNNNNNNNNNNNNNNNNNNNNNNNNNNNNNNNNNNNNNNNNNNNNNNNNNNNNNNNNNNNNNNNNNNNNNNNNNNNNNNNNNNNNNNNNNNNNNNNNNNNNNNNNNNNNNNNNNNNNNNNNNNNNNNNNNNNNNNNNNNNNNNNNNNNNNNNNNNNNNNNNNNNNNNNNNNNNNNNNNNNNNNNNNNNNNNNNNNNNNNCGCGGGAAGGGAGUUGCUUCGAGCUAGCUUCCUUCGAGGACGAGUUGCUAGGUGGUCUACCUCUCGAUAUUUACUUUUUGGCGAGAGGUUGAGGGUUUUGCCAGUGUAUAGAGACCACCAUUUUUGUACUAGAGACAGAUAUUGUACUACUUAUGUUUUCUUUUUUUUUGACUAGCUUUAUUUCUUUACUUUGGUGUAGAUGAUAGAACAUUACUUGCUCUGAUAUCAUUAGUUGCUAGUUACUUCACUUCUUUUAUUUGUUCUAUCUCCUGCUUUACUUCCGCUUUUAUUGUAGACGCCUUAUAUGUGUAGACAUAUGGCGGGUCUGGGCACGCUACCGGGAGGGCCUUCGCCGGUCCCGGGGCGUGACAGAUUAAUUUGGUAUCAGAGCCUAGGGUUGAGUCUUAGUGGACCUAGCGAACCUUAGGCCGGUUGGACUAUAGGAAUUAGGCUCGUGAGAGACGAGGUCUAAUUGACUUGUGAGCGAAAGUAUUAUGAUUGGGUUUAUGACAACUCUAAAAAGUUAGAGUUUGAUCGGAGUGUAUGGCUUCUAACUUCGCGGAGGGUUACGUUGGUGGCCGACAACGUAACAUCGGGAGUUAGUAGUGAAGGACACUUCCUUACUUUAGCAUGAUUUGGGGUUUUAUCUAUUUUGAGCGGGGAUGCGAUAGCGUGGGUUACUAACUUGCGCUUUUAUGUUUUGUAGUGACGAUGCCGAUCACACGCUCCUAGUCUGCCGGGGCGGAUGAUGCGGCACACCCCGAGGAGGUCGAGACCUCCGCUACUUCCGGAUCUAGUGAGGUCCGCGACUUGAGGGCCCAGCUUGCUGUUCUCACUGAUCUGUUGGCGCAGCAGACGACAGCGGCGCAGCGUCAGGCUGAGGUGGCUCAGCGGCAGGAGGCGCGGAUGAAGCAUCUUGAGGACCUCCUACUGCAGCAGGCGGCAGCUUCGAGGGAGACCCAGGGUCCCACACCGCCAGCACCCGUGGUGGACGUCGCACUGAGGGCGCAGUCCCCCGCGCCCAGCUCUUCACGUGCGGCACCGGCGACCGCACCUCGGGAGUAGGUGGUUACGGCAUUACCAGUUUAGAGGUCGGCGACAGGGGCAGCAUUCCCCGUGAUGGCCGAGGGAGCCGAGCGGGAUCGGCUUAUGAAUCGCCUCAGCGAGUUCAGGAGGUGCAGCCCGAGGACGUUCGAUGGCGAGAACGUCGACCACUGGAUUGUUGAAAAGUGGUUGAUGCAUAUGGAGAAGCUGUUUCGAGACACCUUUGUGGAGGAGCGGGACAGAGUUUGGCUCGCCACUCACUUUCUGGACGGCGAGGCCUAUCGUUGGUGGUUGGACAUCCAGAACAACCCCAACACCGACUUGGCAGCGAUUACUUGGACGAGGUUCAAGGAGCUUCUUCUGGCGCACCACUUCCCGACCAGCGUUAAGAGGAAGAUGGAGCAGGAUUUGCGCAGCUUGCGCAAGGACGAGCGGUCAGUGGCUGAGUACGAGAGGGAGUUCUCCCGGAUAUUACACUGUGUACCGUUUGUUGUGAGGGACGACGAGGACAAGGCCAACAUCUUUGAGCGCGGUUUGCGGCCUUCUAUCUUUCGGUUGGUGCAGUCUUCCAACCUCCAGACCUACCGGGAGGUUGUGGAUCGAGCUUUGAUUGUGGAGGCAGGAGCGGCAGAUCUGCAGGAGCGUCGCGAGAGCUCGGAGAAGGGGAAAGGGAAGAGGCCCGCGGCUGAGGGUGCGAGCCAGACGCACUCACGGAGGACGCGAGGCACCCAGGAGCCGGAGCUAGUCGCGGGGACGUGGCUCAUCUACUCAGCGAGGAGGACCCGAUCGUCGCCAAGCCCCCCGCUGCGUGAUCUGUGGCGGUUCUCAUUACCCGCAGCAGUGUUCACGCAGCCGGGGCAGGUGCUUCUUGUGUGGCCAGGAGGGCCACUUCCAGUCUGACUGCCCGAGGAGUCCAUUGCCAGCGCCAUCUUCGGCAUCUGCACCAGCUUCGCCAGGUCCCAGUCAGGGGACAUCUUCUGUGCAUCACCAGGUCGGUCGGCCACCUGUCCAGCGGCAGACGGAGGGGUCACGACAGGCCCCGAGCCGGCGCAUGUACGCGGCACAGACUAAGGAGGCGGCGGCAGCCGAGAAUGUGGUCGCAGGUAUCAUUUUACUUCAUGGUACUCGAGUUAGAGCUUUGUUUGAUACCAGUGCAUCGCAUUCAUUCAUUGAUCGGCUGUUUGCCGAGCUGCAUGGCAUCCCACUUGUAUCCUUGUUGCACCCGGGACGAGUCGUUGUACCCGACCAUUCUUUGGACAUUCGGGAGUUUUGCCCCAGCUGCCCUAUUCGGGUUGGAGAUUGGAUCAUGCCCAUAGACUUGCUAGCCUUGCAUAAACUCGGGGAGUUUGACGUUGUGUUGGACAUGGAUUGGUUGACUAAGUACUACGCCACUAUCGAUUGCAAAGAUCGAACGGUGAUUUUUAGAGAGCCAGGGCAGGCGGAGGUUGUGUACCAAGGAUGCCAGAGUUCGCUGUUUGCGAUGACGAUUAGCUCCUCUCGAGCUAGGCAGUUGAUUAGUAGAGGCUGCGUAGCCUACUUGGCUAAUGUUGUGUUGCGGGGUGUGGAUGACGCCCCUAGGAUUGAGGAUAUCCCCGUAGUGCGGGAGUUUGGAGAUGUGUUUCGAGCGGAGCUUCCAGGCAUGCCCCCUGGUAGGGAGAUUGAGUUUGUGGUAGAUCUCGUCCCCGGGACUGCCCCGAUCUCUAAGGCACCCUAUAGGAUGGCACCAGCAGAAUUGAAGGAACUGAAGGCACAGUUGCAGGAUCUUCUGGAUAAGGGUUUUAUGCGACCGAGUGUGUCACCUUGGGGAGCACCGAUUUUGUUUGUGAAGAAGAAGGAUGGAUUACUUCGCUUAUGCGUGGACUAUCGUGAACUCAAUAAAGUCACGAUUAAGAACAAGUAUCCAUUGCCGAGGAUUGAUGAUCUAUUUGAUCAACUCCAGGGAUCUUGUGUAUAUUCCAAGAUUGACUUGCAGUUGGGAUAUCACCAGUUGAGGAUCAGACCUGAGGAUGUAUCGAAGACGGCUUUUAGAACACGGUAUGGACAUUACGAGUUUACCGUUAUGCCGUUUGGGCUUACUAAUGCCCCCGCAGCUUUUAUGGAUCUGAUGAACCGUGUUUUCAAGCCUUAUUUAGACAGGUUCGUUAAUUGUGGUGUUUAUCGACGACAUCUUAGUGUAUUCCCGGAGUGACGCGGAUCACGAGGAACACUUGAGACUUGUACUUCAAGUGGUUCGGGAAAGGGAGCUCUACGCCAAGUUGAAAAAGUGUGAAUUUUGGCUUAGAGAGGUGGCAUUUUUGGGCCAUGUGAUUUCAGGAUCAGGCAUAGCCGUGGACCCGAGAAAAAUUGAAACUAUCAAGGAUUGGCCAAGGCCGACGAGUGUCACGGAGAUUCGGAGCUUCCUUGAUUUGGCCGGCUACUAUCGACGAUUUGUUGAGGGAUUUGCGAGGUUAUAUACUCCCCUCACGAGGCUCACGCAUAAGGGCACCAAGUUUGUUUGGAAUGAUGCUUGUGAAAGGAGCUUCCAAGAGUUGAAGCAGCGAUUGACGACUGCCCCGAUCCUUACCUUGCCGACUGCUGAAGCAGGGUAUGUGAUUUAUAGUCAUACUUUCUUUAAUGGAUUGGGCUGUGUUUUGAUGCAGGACGGAAAAGUGAUCGCGUAUGCAUCUCGCCAAUUGAAGGAUUAUGAAAAGAAUUACCCCACUCACGACUUGGAGUUGGCGGCCGUAGUCUUUGCAUUGAAGCUAUGGCGCGAUUACCUCUAUGGCGAGCGAUGCGAAAUAUAUACGGAUCACAAAAGCUUAAAGUAUCUAUUCACUCUGAAGGAGUUGAACUUGAGGCAGCGCAGAUGGUUGGAGGUACUCAAGGAUUAUGAUUUGACGAUACUUUACCACCCGGGCAAGGCUAACUUGGUGGCGGAUGCGCUAAGUAGGAAAUCGACUAAGAACUUAGCGAUGCUUGUGGUUACUCAACCGCCGUUGAUCGAGCAGAUGAAGCGGUUGGAGUUGGAGGUGGUGGCUCCUGAUACACCUUUGAGACUGAUGGCUUUGGUGGUGCAACCUACACUUUUGGAAAGGAUUAAAGAAAAGCAAGCUUCCGACUCGGAGUUGCAAAAGAUUCGAGCUAAGAUGGUUGAUGGUUGCACCGGUGACUUCACUUUAGACGGUGAUGGAUUGAUGCGUUUCCACGGACGACAUUGUGUACCGGCGGACUUGGGCAUUAAAGAGGAUAUUCUUCAAGAAGCACAUCGAGCACCGUAUGCUUUGCAUCCGGGAGGCACCAAGAUGUACAAGGACUUAAAGUCGCUUUAUUGGUGGACCGGGAUGAAAAAGGAUGUUGGUGAGUUCGUUGCUAGAUGUUUAACUUGGCAACAGGUGAAGGCUGAGCACCGAGUUCCUGCAGGGAAGCUGCAGAGCCUACCGAUUCCAGUGUGGAAGUGGGAAAAGGUCACCAUGGAUUUUGUGAUGGGAUUGCCUCGCUCACAGGCCGGGCAUGACGCUAUUUGGUUGAUUAUGGAUAGGUUGACGAAAUCGGCACAUUUCAUACCUAUCCACACUACUUGGACUGGUGAGAGACUCGCACAGGUUUAUUUGGAUGAGAUUGUGCGAUUACACGGGAUACCUACUUCCAUAGUAUCAGAUCGAGACCCCCGUUUUGUAUCCCACUUUUGGAGGAGCUUACAGGACGCUCUGGGUACGCGUUUGGACUUCAGUACAGCUUUCCACCCCUAGAGUGACGGGCAGUCGGAGCGUACUAUACAGACUCUCGAGGACAUGCUUCGAGCCUGCGUGAUCGACUUCCAGGGAGGAUGGUCGCAGCAUCUACCGAUGGCAGAGUUUGCUUAUAACAACAGUUAUCAAGCAAGCAUCAAGAUGGCACCGUUCGAGGCACUCUAUGGACGGAAGUGUAGGUCGCCGCUUCAUUGGAGUGAAGUUGGCGAGAGAUUGGCUUUAGGCCCAGAUGUGCUCCAGGAAGCAGAGGACAAGGUUCGCAUUGCUCAGGAGCGAUUGUUGACAGCCCAGAGUAGGCAGAGGAGUUAUGCUGAUCGGCGUCAACGAGACUUGGAGUUUCAGAUUGGGGACCAUGUGUUCUUGAAAGUCUCGCCGACCAAGGAAAUUAGAAGAUUUGGGAUCCGGGGUAAGUUGAGCCCCCGAUUCAUUGGACCGUUUGAGGUUUUGGAGCGUGUAGGCCCGGUGGCUUAUCGACUCGCUCUACCGCCAAACCUAUCGGGGGUACACAAUGUAUUCCAUGUAUCGGUCCUUCGGAAGUACAUCCACGACCCGGCUCAUGUAUUGGAUGCUACACCUAUGGAGCUGCGGGAGGAUUUGAGCUUUGAGGAGCAACCCUUGGAAAUUUUGGCUCGCGAGGUGAAGAGAUUGCGGAACCAGAAAAUUCCCUACGUGAAGGUGCUUUGGAGCAACCACGACGAGCGCGAGGCCACUUGGGAGUUAGAGAGCGCACUGCGGGAGCGCUAUCCCCAUCUUUUUCAGAUGGAGGCUUGAGGUACUUUGUUUGUUUUGAGUUUUGCGGAGGAAACUCCUCUUUAGGAGGGAUGAAUGUAACACACUGGACCUUUGCAAAUUGCGAGGUUCGAGUGAUUGGCCGUGUUCUGAGCUUUUCUAGAUUUUCUGGUGGGUCGUUGACUGUGUUCCGACCUAUGGCACGUGUCCCGAGAUUUGUGGUACAAAGCCUUGCACCAAAACCCGAAAAAACGGGAUUUGGCUGACUCUCGGAUUGAGUUAUGGCAGGCUUGUACCGGUACAAGGUUGUGCUUGUACCGGUACAAGGUUGAUGGUUGUACCGGUACAGCCAUCGGAGCUUGUACCGGUACAGAGCCGCAGAGUCCAGCAACCCGAGCCUCGGGUUUGGAUUUCGUGGACCUUGUACCGGUACAAGAGCCCGUGUACCGGUACAAGGGGCAAAUUUCGUGCAGUUUGAACUGCAGGGGGCUGAUUUCGUGCAGUUUGAACUGCAGGGGGCUUUUUGCGAUUGUGGACUUCUUAUUAGUACCCCCCAUGCCCUAGGGGUCUUCUCUUGAGCUUGGGACCAGCAAGAGGAGAGGUAAGGGAGCCCUCUUUGAUUUUCUUUUGAUUUAUUUGGAUUUUGGUAGGAUUUUAAGAGAUUAAACCUCUCUUUUGCUUCUUUUGUUUGAUUGGAGGCUUUUCUACCUUUGGGGCUUUAUUUUGGAGCUUUGUUGAGGGGAGAUCCUUGGACUUGGAGAGUUUAGAGCUUGGAUUGGAGCUUCUAAGAGGUAAUCUACUUGCUCUCUCCCACUAGAUUUGAUUUUUGUUGAUGGAUUCAAGAUGAAACCCUAGAUUGGAGAAUUAGGGCUUAUUUUGGGCAUUUUGAUUCUAGGGCUUUUGGGGCUAAAUCUUUUGGAUUAGAACCUUUCCCUAGAUUGGAUUGGAAGGGAUUUAGCUCUCUUUUGGAGCUUGGGAGAGAUUUUCCACUCAUUAGGUGAGUUUUAGCCCUUGUGCUAUAAUUGUUAAUGCUUGAUCUUAUAGAUGAUCGUAAUGCUCGUGUAUCUCUUCGCUCAAUACUUUUAGGGUAAUUUGAGACUCGUGGACAACUUCGUUCGGCGAGACGGGGCACUACGCGACGGUUCGGUGGGUUUGACCUAGCCUAUAUAUGAGAAAUUCUCACAUAUGGUUAUGGAUGUUCCGUAAAUUGGAAAAGCAUGCAUAUUCAUACUAAAUGUAUUUAUUAUGAUUUUUAGAAUGCUUAAAAUGCAUAUGUUACAUAUGAUGAAAUUUUGGACCUCUAUGUAGUAGAGAGUUGCUUGGGAGAUCUAUGGUUGUAUUUAGCAUUCUUUAUGAGACUUGGUUUCAUGCUUCUAUAGUGUAAAUGAGUUCGGAUUCAUGCAUUUAAACUUAAGUUUACUUGUGACAUGAAAGAUGACAAAAUUGCCAUUUAGAAGGUGUGUGAACUAGAGAGCUAAUGUCAUCAAGCGGCAUUGAGCUCGGGACAUGUGUGAACCUAGUGGAUAGGGCCAUUGAGGAAUGUGGAACAUGCUUAAACAUUAAAUGUCUAAGUGUCAUAAAGGGGCACUAGACCUAGAGAAUGUUGGAACUUCAUUUGUGACUUAGAACUAGAUCUUCGAGAUGCUAGUGACUAUACCAUGUUAGAGACAUGAGGGUUGGAUACUUGAGACUUGGACUAUGCUUGCUUGCCAUUUGUGCUCAUUCGCACAUGCUUGUGAGGGUCGCUCCCUACAAGCCGGCACUCCGGAGUUAGCCUACGCGACUUAUGUUCGCUCGUGCGGUAUUGAGAAGCCUACGGGGUCGAGUGGGACAGACACAUUCCAAGAGUAGGGAUGUUGGGCUACCACAGGCACUUAGGCGGCACAAGCUGGACUACCUUUGGUAGGUCCUUAAUUGGAAAUGGAAAUCGACACGGUGUUGAGAAUGGUUAAUCACUACUAGAUAGGUUUAGUAGUUGAAUUACAUUUAUAUGCUUUUAGCAUAGUGUUGAGACAUGUAGUAUACUUGAUAGUCUCCUUUUGCAUUAAAGCAUACUUGGUUGCCAUGACAGAACUUAUGCAUAAUGUAUUCAUAAAGGUUAAUGACUUACUAUUUUGAUAUCGUAGAUGUACAUCACCAUGACAUCGUUUAUACUUGAGUUUAGUAAUUUAGCAUUUUAAUUAUGCCUUUAUAUCGCAGUCAUUAUUGCUAUUAUUAUUGUACUUACCCUUUUCUUUUGGGGCCUAGUGGUGCAUAGAGCUGAGGUCAGUAAUUGCCCACUGGGAACUAUAAAUUAUAGUUCUCACGCCCUCUUUUUCUCGAUGUUUUUCAGAGCCUUCCACGCAGGGUGAGGCCAGGGAUCGCGGGAAGGGAGUUGCUUCGAGCUAGCUUCCUUCGAGGACGAGUUGCUAGGUGGUCUACCUCUCGAUAUUUACUUUUUGGCGAGAGGUUGAGGGUUUUGCCAGAGUAUAGAGACCACCAUUUUUGUACUAGAGACAGAUAUUGUACUACUUAUGUUUUCUUUUUUUUUUGACUAGCUUUAUUUCUUUACUUUGGUGUAGAUGAUAGAACUUUACUUGCUCUGAUAUCAUUAGUUGCUAGUUACUUCACUUCUUUUAUUUGUUCUAUCUCUUGCUUUACUUUCGCUUUUAUUGUAGACGCCUUAUAUGUGUAGACAUAUGGCGGGUCUGGGCACGCUACCGGGAGGGCCUUCGCCGGUCCCGGGGCGUGACAAAAGCCCUCACCUGGUUAUCCACGAAAUAGAGCUCAAAAGGAUCUCUAGGGAGGGCUGGGGUGGUAUAUAAAGGUUGCAACAAUUGCAAAUAGAACCCCCAACAAAAAUAGCCUUUUCUGCAAAGUGUACCGGUACACGGGAAGGUGUACCGGUACAAAUCCCGCGUAUGUGCGAACUCGAGGCUCGGGUUGGCGGAAAAUUCCACUUGUACCAGUACAACCAUCAAGUUGUCACCGGUACACUUUCUGUACCGGUACAACCAUCAAGGUGUAACAGUACACAGCCCCUCAAAAUGCAAUCCGAGAGCAGCCUAAGUCCAUCAUUUUGGCGACCUUAGCGCUACUUUAAAUACUACAAUUCUCGGGAUACGAGCCAUAGGUCGGAACACUGUCAACGACCCUCUAGAAUAUCUGGAAAAGCUCGGAACACAGAUCAAACACUCGAACCUCGCAAUUUGUAAACGUCCAGUGUGUUACACCCCGUCAUUGUUCCCUCGGGUGGUAGUGCUAGUAGCCUCCCCCGGUAGACGGGAAUUGUGGUUUGUUAGUUUGGGGUGAACCAUGAGUACUCCGGGAUAAUUGGGUAAAGGCCAAAGAGAAUAAGAACACGAACAUGCAUGCAUAGUUAUCAUGUAUUUGAUUGUCUAUCUGUUGACAGCUUUCUUGCAGGCAUUGUAAUAGUUUUGCAUUAGUUGGUUUGCAAUCAAUCAUUUCGUGAAAUUACAUAUGCCUGAAUAGACCUAGUGGGCGAGUCGGCACGGUCGGCAGCCGAACCCACUGGGAACUUCUUUUAGUUCUCACACCACCACUAACCCUGCAGAUCCAUGCGUAAGCGGGGCGGCGGAGGAUCGAGGCAAGGGACUAGCACCGUAGUUAGCGGCCUCGGAGUUUAUAGGCAUACCCUAUAUGUAUAUUCAAUUUUUGUAUGUUGAAGUAAGGAAUGUAAAUAAUGUAAAUCUUCUAUUUUGGUCAAAGGAUAAUGUGAUGUAAAUAUGUAACAUACCACAUCCCUCGUAAGUCGUGCCGAGUUCCGUCAAAAUGAGCGGAACGCGAAAUUGAACGAGUUAAAGUGGACCCUAAGUGCAUUGGAGUUCAUAAACGGAGCAAAAAGGGACCCGGAGAGCAAAUUUGGAAAUCUGGCUAAGUCCCAGAUUUUGAGCUCUCGGGGACCGGUCCCUGAAGGAGAGACCGGUCCCCGUGCGCGUAGCCUGCCAGAAAAUCCUGAGGCAACCGGUCCCUGGUGGUGAGACCGGUCCUCGGGAGACCGGUCCCUGAUGGGCAGACCGGUCCCUCGCUGCGCAACAGCAGAAAAACUCGAAAAUUUGGCUAAGUCCUGGAAAACCCCCGUUCGGGAACCGGUCCCUGGGGGGAGACCAGUCCCCGAAGGCGAAAAACGCCAGUCUGGGCAGAUCAAGGGAACAGUUGAGGGUUUAAAUGCAAUUGUUACAACACUUUUAUAUGGGCCAUCCCCUCUCCUCACAGCCAUUUCUUCUCCUCUCUCCAUUUUCUCUUUUUCUCUCUCUAGAACUCCUCUAGAACUUGGAGAAGAAGAAGAAGAAGAAGAACUUGGAGAAGAAGGUGGAUUUUGGUGCCUUGGAGGUUCUAGGAGCUCUCCAACAGAAGAAUCUUUGUGGAGCUUGGACUAGAGGUAAGUUUUUAAGGUUUUUCUCUAGGGUUUGGAUUUUGGUUAAGAGAUUGGAGCUUUGUGCUCCUUAGAGGUUUUAGGAGCUCUUUGAGCGAUGAAAACAAGGUACCAUGAGAGUCAAGGUGCUCUCAUGGUGAACCUUGGAAGUUGGGUUAGAAGCCCUAGGGUUAGUUCCAAAAGCUUGGAAACCUUUUAGAAUGCUUCCUAAGUGAAUCUAAAGCUACCAUUUGUUAGGGUUGAGAUCAAUUCAAGGGGAAACCCUAAAUGGCAAUGUUAGGGCUUGGAUUUGGGGCUUUUGCCCUAGGAUUUUUCGGGGACAAUUGACCCCGUAGAACCUAAUUGGGGUGCCCUAAACUGUCACGCCCCGGGACCCAGCGGGAGCCCGCCCGGCGCGUGCCCAGACCCGCCAUAUGUCUACAACAUAUAAGGCGUCUAAAAAAAAAACAACAAUAAUAAAGGCAAUAUUAAAAGGCAUCUAGAAGUAUCAGAGCAUAAUAAAUGUCUAAAUGCUACAACAAAGGAUAAGGAAAAACUGUAAAUCCACUAAAUAAGACAUAAAGUGAAUACAAUAGGAAAUCCCAAGUACAAGUGCUAUAGGCAGAUACAUAGGUGGUCUCUAUACAUGGGUACAAAACCUCACACUCUCUCAAAAUAUAAAAGAAGAGUAAACCACCUAGGCAGAGUACCGCUUCUCGCUAGCUAGCUAAGCGAUCCCCUUGCCGCGAUCCCGUGCCUCCGCCGGUGCAGAAGGCUCUGAAAAGGAAACCAUAAAACAGGGGCGUGAGAACUAUUAAAAAUAGUUCCCAGUGGGCAAUUACUGACUUCAGUGAAUGCACCACAAGGCCCAAAGCUACAAGAGAUAUUAGUGACUAUAAAUGUAGAAAAAACGAAAGGUAAGUAAAAUGUAACUUACUACAACUUGAUAUCUCUACUUAGCAUAAAUAGCAUAAGUAUGAAGCAACUAUGCAUGAAGUAUAAGUCUCCAACUAUCAUAAUGUUCACAAUGCGAAAUAGUAAAGUUCCGUUGUUUACUAUUCUAGUCAAUGUCCAAAUAAUACUCUAAGUCAUCAUCUGUCCACAUGUCAUAAUGAAUACUCAAGUCGAAUCUGAAGAGACCCACCCGAAGGCUGUCUAUGGCCCUGAGACCCACCCGAAGGCUGUCUGGCCAGUGCCGAGCCUAAUGGCCCCGUAGUAGUCAACAUCCCCACCCUAGGAAUGAGCCUGGCCCACGGCAAUCCACUUCGGCGCCCAAUCCCGCACGGCGAAUAUGUAUCGCGAUGGCCAUCUCCGGAGUGCCGGCUUGUAGGGAGCGACCCUCACAAGCAUGUGCGAAUGAGCACAAUGGCAAGUAGUCAAACGAUCUGUCGCAAGUACCAAGUCCUCAUGUCUAAUAAUAUGGAAUGUGUCGAAUGUCCCAAAGGCCUAUCUCUAUGUCAUCAUGUCUCUAACAUGGAAUAUAUAUAGCAGAUAUACAAUGGCCUAUCAUCAUGUCUCUAAGUUGCUUUUUAUCGUUUACUAAUUCCAAGUGCCUCUUUAUGACACUUUUGUUCAACGGGUCCCAAGCAUGGCAUUAAUAUGUUCAUGAUGCAUAGUUCCCUCAAUUCUAGCAUGAAGACAUGUUCUCAACUUGCGAAACCAAGUACUGUCCACAAUGCAUGCAGUCUACACAUAUAGCUCUACUAUAUGGAGUACAAAUUUUACGAUACAUGAGGCAUGCAUGUUAAGUGUUCUAAAAUUCAUAUAAAUCAUGUUUAGCACGAAUUUGCAUUAAAAAAAUACUUUACAAAAGUUUAGAAGGCAUAGGGGCCAUUUUGCCCCAUUUUCAUGAAGUCAAACCCACUAAAAAAAAAAUCGACUUCUUCGUUUCGCCGAACGAAGAUAUCCACAAGCUCCCUAGUACUCUAGAAACAUCAAAAAUAGGGUCACCCAAACGAAACGAAGAGCGAAUAGCUCAAACAUUAACCAACUCAAGCUAGGGUUGGGGAAAAACUCACCUCAAGUGGAAAACCCUCUCUAAAUCCUCAAAUGGAAGGUAGAGGUCUUCCAAUCUAACCUAUAUAACGGUUCCAAACCCAUCAAUUAGGUCUCAAAACCCCCAAAUUCGAAAACCCCCAAAUUCGAAAACCCCCAAAAUAAACCCUAAAUCCCAAAAUCUAGGGUUUCAUCUAGAAAAACCUAGAAAAACAAGUAUCAAAUGGGGAUUAUAAGCUACCAACCUCAAGAGAAGCCCCAAUCCAAGCUCAAAACCAAGUAGGGUUGGAGUUUGAUCCUCCACAAAGCUCCAACCGCAUGCUCCAAGCCUCCAAAGGUGGAAAAUGAGGAAGAAGAUGAUGCUCCAAGGCCUCUAUGCAAGCUCCUUCUCCUCUUCUUCUCCUUCUUCUCCUUCCCUUUCUCUCUCUAGAAGUGUAGGAAGAGUGUGAGGGAGAGAAAAUGAGAGUGAGAGGGGAGGAGAGGCCGCUAUAGCCUCUAAAGUAACAAAUCCACAUAGGCCCUCAAAAACUCAAAUUUACACACAACUCGGACUGGGCCAGUUUUCGCCCAGAGGGACGGCGGUCUCCCGACCUGGGACCGGUCUCUCAGCCUGCCCCCGAAAAUCCAACGUUCGGGAGCCGUCUCUCCCUGUGCGGGACCGGUCUCUCCCCGCGCAGACGCGCUCGGGACUGGUCUCAACUGCCAGGGACCGGUUGCCUCGCCUGCUACGCAGCACUUUUCACUGGGAACCGGUCUCUCCUAUCAGGGACCGGUCCCGGAGAGUAAAACUCUCAGGACUCAACCAAAAACUCUCGAGAUCAACCUUUUAGACCGGUAUACCAUCGACGGGCCCUCCACCAAGUGUGGAAAAGUUCGAAUACACAUCGAACACUCGAACCUCGCAAUUUGCAAAGGUCCAGUGUGCUACAUAAACACGUUGGACACACUCCGUUUAACAUUACGAAAUGUUAGAACAAAGUUCAUGUACAAAAAGGCCUAAUAUGGCAUUAUUUUGAUUAUAGGCGCGGAAUCGGAUUUCGUAAAGUGCGGGAGCUUCCGUAAUCUACACCCACACAACUAAUAGAGGUGGGGGGUGCAUGCCGGAAUCGUUGGAUUCCUUCUAUGUCUGUUUUCUCUACUCGUGAGCAUAUAUGAUAUAAUUAUAUACCCAUUCAUGCAUAGUAGGGUAGCUACAUGUGGAACUUGGUUCGACUUCAUUUAUAUGCUUCUAACGUAGUUGAACAUAGAGAAUGAUAGAACCAAAAUGGACAUGUGUGUUUGGGCCCUCAAGUUGUGUGAAUGUGAGAAUGGACUUGGACAUUAGAAAACAAGAGUGUCAUUGACAUAGAAACAAGAAUUGCAUUGUGAGAUGAACCGUUGAAUAUAGUUUAACCCAUAUUGACAUUGUCAAAGAUAAAGCCUUGAGAGUGGCAAGAAUGAAUAGGUAGAGACCUAUCGUGACAUUGGCAUUGUGACUAGUGGCUAUGAGUCCUCAAGUUGAGGAUUAGAUCGAUAUUCACAUUUCGUCUUGGCUUGAGGGGAGGUCGCUCCCCUCGACGGGUGCGCUCCGGAGUUGGUCACUCACUGGGCAUGGUAAAGUCCCACUAGUUGACAGGUCCUAGGGAGGUUCGAGUCCCCCGUUAUUAAGAAAUUUUGGGUUGUGAGUUAUUGGGUUAACAGGUUAACCGUAAGAUUGGGUAAGAGCCAAAGCUUGAUUAUGAUUGAAGCAUGCAUGCAUUUCCAUUACCGAUUGAAAUUGUAUAUCUACUGACUUCUUUCUUGCAGGCAUAGUAUUAGUCGCAUUAGUAAUGGUUACUUUCUCCUUUGAAAUACUUAUGCCUGGAUGACCUAGUGGGUAAGUCGUGGCGGUCCGGCAUGCCGAGCCCACUGGGAACUUCGUUGUAGUUCUCACACCACUAACCCUACAGGUCCUAGUGCGAGCGGGGCGGCGGAGGACCGAGGCAAGGGUUUGGCGCAGUAGGUAGCGGCCACCGGGACUUUAUGCAUUUUGUAGUCAUUCCCUUUUGUUUUACAUGUAUCAACUUUAUUCUGUUGAUUUAGGUAUGAAAAAUGUAAAUAAUCAUGUAUUUGGAGGAUGACUAAAUGUAAAAGAUAUGAUGGUUGAAUGGAAUGUAAUAGCCUUGUUUACUUGAAUUUGGUUUAAAUGAAAUCAAAUAUCAUGUGUGAUGUAUAUUUAGCUUAAAGCUUUCGCUUCCGUUGUUGCUUGCCCUCGCGCAAGCCUUGUAUUAUAAUAAUGAAAUUCUCUCGAUUAUUGCCACUUUAUACCUGUUGUUAGAGCCUUGGGUGGACAGGGGAGGCUCUGUCCGUUCGGCGUCUGUUGACGUGACCCGAACCCGACCAAAUUGGCGUGGAUUGGGGCGUGACAAAAUGAAUGAAAAAGAAUGAAUGUAAAGGAAUAGCUUACUUGUGUUUGAUUAAAAGUAAUCAAAUGACUGGUAUAUUGAAUGGUUGUAAUAGCAUAGGUGCUUUCAUUCAUGGUUUAGUAGUUGUUUGCCCUCGAGCAAACCUAGUAUAAUUGCAUUCAUCUUGUUGAAUUGCUUGAAUUAUACUUGUUGAUUAGAGCAUUGGGAAGACAUGGGAGGUGCUGUCCGUUCGGCUUCUGUCGGCGUGCCCGAACCGACCAAAUUGGCGGCCUCGGGGCGUGACAAAGAUUAUACUGAAAAUAUUAUCGAGUAGGGGAGUGGGUAUCUUGUAUUACUGAUGGCGGGUUACAUUGUAAUUAAGUAUGUAAAAUUACAAGUUUAUCCUUUUGAACCCCAUACCUUUUCAAUACAUCAUUUUUAAAAUUUUAAUUUAAAUUUUUAAAUUGUCAAAUUUGAAGUUUGAAAUUUUAAUUUAAAAUUUUAUUUAAAAAUUUAAAUUUAAAAUUUUAUUUUAAAAUUUAAAAUUUGAGGUUUCUGACAAGUUACAAGAGUGAUCGAAGCGCCAGAAGGUCAAAAGUGCAUUGUUCGUUAGAUGUGGAAAAGUGUGAAGUUUAAAUGUGAUAUUGGAAUUUGACUGAUUAUGAAGUCUGAUAAGUGGGAAUGAUAAUUGGAAUUAUUCUACAUUUUCUAAAGGGUUUAGAGACGUUGGUGAACCAGUUUGGAAGCAAAUAGGCCACUGGAAGCAAGAAAGUGCAUUGCUAUUGCUACUUUUGGCAUUUCUGCAUUGUGUACCGGUACAACAUUAAGGAUGUACUAGUACAGAAAGCAGCAGCUGCAGUAGCUGCGUGGCAGCAGGGAGACUUUGGUCUUUUGGCUGUUGAUCUUAUCUCCACAGGGGCCAGCUCGACUCCUGAAGUUACCUGAGAGUUACUGGAGCUCAGGGGAAGGGUUUGGCACCUCUCCCACUCUCUCUCUCUAGGGUUUUUCUCUCUCUAAAAGAGAAGCAAGGAUUUGAGCUUAUUUUCUCUUUUCUUUAAGGUUGCUGUUGUAGAGAGAGCUGGGACCAGCUGGGAUGAAUAGAAAGAAGGGGUCUAAUGAUGUUUUAUCCACCCUAACUCGGAAUUACCUGAGUUGAAGCUGUGGGAGGUAAGUAAUUUCAUUACUAAUUAUGUUUGGAGUAUUUGUAAGGUACCGGACUUCUAAAACUAUGAAGUUACGGUGUAUAUUUAAAUGGUUCCGGUGAGGUUACGGUGGAAUGUAACAUACCGGAUUUUAAAUAUAAAAGUGAAAAUAAAUAAAAUAGUAUGAGAUACUAUUUUAUGGGAUUUAGAGAAGUGAAGUAUAGGUUGGGAAUGACCUGUGCUGAAAUCGGAGCGAAAACAGAAGAUUUAGAAUUUUCUGUAAGAGACGAGGAAGAUAAAUUAGCAGAAAAUACACAGUGUCAGAAAAUUAUGAAAACUGGAGGGUAAGUCAGAAUUAUUUUUAUGAGGCUAGAUUUCAAGUUUCAUAUCAUUCUGACACCCGUAGAGUGAGAAAUAAAAUCCGACAACUAUCUGAUAAAGAUUACAGUUCGGUACAGUUUUCGGUGACCAAAUGGGGUCGAAACUGAAAACUUAAGAUAUAUUCUUGUUCAGUACGUUAAACCGAACAUGACUGUCAAAUUUGAGCUCAAACGGAUACUUUGGGAGCUCCGGCGAAAGAUAUCAUAUUUUAAGUUGCCUUGAGUGAAUAUUGUUGGUGUUGACUUUAAUUAGAAGCAUCAGCUUCUUCUCCUUCAACCGACCACCACCACCAUGGCCACACACACGCACGCAUGAAAGGGGGAGAGAAACCCUCCUUUCUCUCUCUAAAUAUCUCUCUCAUCUCUCUAUAUCUCUCUUUUAAAAUUGGAGGGUUGGUGGAGAUCGAGCUUGCGAACGCGUUGGAGGCGACGGAUUGAGCUUUCGUGCGCCCGUUGGAGCGGCGUGUUUUCGUUGCGGCGUUCACGUUGGGGUAAGCUUUUGGGAUUUGGCUUAAUCCUUAGCUUUAAGUGUUCUAUUAGCCUCUAAUGAGCUUUGUUGGCAUAUUGAUCCAUUUAAUUUGGAUUAUUUGGAGGUUAAUUAUACGUUAGGGCUCCGAAUGGGGUUUUAUAAAAUAUAAGGGUUUGAUCUAAUUUGACCAUCCGUAAACCUAAUUGCUAGGUAAACCAACGCGUUGGCGAAGUCGGUUCGGCGAUUCGUCGAGCCUACGCGAAGUUAUUAAAGAAACGGACGUUUAGGCUUCGUUUCCGCCUGGAGAGCCGAGGCGACGUCGUAAAAUCAUGAAAACGGAUUUGAAGCACCGUGGCACAUAACCGAAGACCUUUAAUUUUUGAAUCGUUUAACUCCCCGCAUCGGCGAUACCUUUAGAAAUACGCAGUCUCCAACCGCGAACUCUAUAUCCUUUCUUCGCUUGUCGGCAUAACUCUUGUGCCGAGAUUGCACCGUCGCAAGUCUUUGUCGGGCAAGAUGAACUUUCUCCUCCGCCUCCCCAACCACCUCGGGGCCAAGAGCAACUCUCUUGCCCACAUCGCUCCAAUGAAUCGGCGAGCGACAUUUCCUUCCAUAAAGGGCCUCGAAUGGCGCCAUCGCGAUGCUUUCCUGAUAGCUAUUAUUAUACGCAAAUUCCGCCAUUGGUAAUUUAUCAUGCCAUCCGCCCUUAUAGUCAAGUACACACGCUCGAAGCAUAUCCUCAGGUAUUUGAAUAGUCCUCUCCGAUUGACCGUCACUUUGAGGAUGAAAUAUUGUACUAAAGUCGAGCCGUGUGCCCAAUGCAUCUUGCAAGCUCCUCCAAAAAUGAGAUGUGAACCUAGGGUCUCGAUCCGAUACAAUUGACACCGGAACCCCGUGAAGUCUCACAACCUCGUCGAGAUAUACUUGGGCUAGCUUGUCCCCCGACCAAGUAGUGUGGAUCGGCAAAAAGUGUGCCAAUUUUGUCAACCGAUCCACAACUACCCAAAUCGCAUCAUGUCCACCUUGGGAUCUAGGCAAACCGGUCACAAAGUCCAUUGCAAUAUUUUUCCAUUUCCAAAUAGGUAUUGAUAGGCUUUGCAACUUCCCCGCCAGAAACCGUCGUUCCGCCUUUACUUGCUGGCACGUGAGGCAUUGUGCCACGAACUCCCCUAUGUCCUUUUUCGUGCCCGGCCACUAUAAUGUAGCUUCAAGUCUUGAUAUAUUUUGGUGCCGCCCAGGUGAAUGCUAUAGCGAGAUUGAUGUGCUUCUUAUAUAAUCGCCCUCCGAAGAUCAUCGUCCUUGGGCACACACCAACGAUUUCUGAACAAGAGUGCGCCGUCGGUCCCAAUGCCAAAUUCAUCGGCACUACCACUCUCAACUUUACCUCGCACCUUUUAGAGAUAUUCGUCGGAAACUUGCAAUUCUUUAAUUUUCUCCAAUAAGGUUGGUUGCACAAUCAAUGUGGCAAGUGUUGCCGGCACUCCAAGUGCCACAACCUCAAGACGGAACUGUUGCAUCUCCUUUUGCAAUGCUGGUUGGGGUGUAAUUGCCGUCGCAAAAUUCUCCGCCGACUUUCUACUUAGAGCAUCGGCCACGACAUUAGCCUUCCCGGAGUGGUAUAGAAUAGUGACAUCAUAGUCCUUUAGCAACUCUAACCACCGCCGCUGUCACAUAUUUAACUCCUUCUAGGUAAACAAGUAUUUGAGACUCUUGUGGUCGGUGUAGAUCUCACAAUGCUCACCGUACAAGUAAUGCCUCCACAACUUUAGCGCGAAGAUAACCGCCGCUAGCUCAAGGUCAUGAAUCGAGUAGUUCUUUUCAUAACUCUUUAACUGGCGCGAAGCAUAAGCUAUAACUCGGCCAUUUUGCAUCAAAACGUACCCGAGACCAAUAUAAGAAGCAUCACUGUACACUACGUAGCUCUUCCCCGGUGUCGGCAAGACAAGCACCAGGGUCGAUGUCAACCUUUCCUUUAGCUCCUCAAAGCUCCGGUCACAUUUGGGGCUCCAAACAUACUUCACCCCUUUGUGGGCAAGGCGCGUUAGUGAAGUAGUUAUCUUAGCAAACCCCUCCACGAACCGCCGGUAGUAGCCUGCAAGUCAAAGAAAGCUACGAAUUUUCGUUACACUUGUCGGGCGAGGCCAAUCUUUAAAUGCCUCAAUUUUCGUUACGAAUUUUGUAUACAGCUUUUCCUUUCGGAGUGUCUCCAACACGAUCCUCAAAUAGUCCUCGUGUUCUUCCUCGGUCCGAGAAUAUACCAACACGUCAUCAAUAAAUACCACGACGCACCGGUCCAAUAGCGGACGGAAGACUCGAUUCAUCGAGUCCAUAAAGGCUGCCGGGGCAUUAGUAAGCCCAAACGACAUAACUGUGAACUCAUAGUGGCCAUACCGCGUACGGUACGCUGUUUUGUGCACAUCCUUGUGCCAUUUCUUCAACUGAUGAUACCCCGAUUGAAGGUCGAUCUUUGAAUAUACCCUUGACCCUUGCAACUGAUUGAAUAAAUCGUCAAUCCUCGGUAGCGGGUACUUGUUCUUGAUCGUCAACUUGUUCAACUCACGAUAAUCAACGCAAAGUCGAAGCGUGCCAUCCUUUUUCUUUACAAAUAGCACCGAAGCUCCCCACGGAGACACGCUCGGCCGCACAAAGCCUUUAUCGAGCAAGUCUUGUAAUUGAGCCUUCAACUCUUUAAGUUCCACUAGUGCUAUUCUAUACGGAGCCUUCGAAAUUGACGCUGUCCCGGGAAUCAAAUCAAUGACGAAUUCAACUUCCCAGUCCGGAGGCUCCGCCGGAAACACAUCCGGAAAUUCACACACUACUCGAAUGCUCCCCAAAUCCGGGUGCUCCUUUUGAGUAUCCACCAUUGUCGCCAAAUAGGCCACACAACCUCCUUUAAUCAUUUUCCUCGCCCUCGCCGCCGAUAUGGUCGCCGCGAAGCGCUUGCUUUUACAUGCCCAGUAUACUAAUUCUUCUUAAUUAGAUUCACGGAAUGUGAUCACCUUACUUUCACAAUCGAUGACCGCGUAAUACUUGGAGAGCCAAUUGAUCCCCAAGAUUACAUCAAAGCCCCACAUUUGGUUUAUCAUCAAUAGGUCUAUCGGCAUAAUCCAAUCACCGAUCUGUACUAGACAAGCCAAGCACUCGUCAUAAACACGGAAUGAAUGCUCUGGUGUAUUCACCGACCAAUAGUCCUCAUUAUGCGUGACCUCUAUGUCAUGAGCUUGUGCAAAUGAUGCCGCUAUGCAUGAAUGUGAUGCACCUAUAUCAAACAAUGCCCUAGCUCUAGUGCCUUUGAUAAGGAUAAUACUUGCCACCACGUCAUCUGGUAUCGCCGGCUGCUCCUCCACCUGAGUGGCAAAUACCCGCCCACUAGGUGCUCGAGAGGCCUCUGGCUGACGAGGCAUUGAUGAACAUCUAGCCGACAUAGCGGGUGGCAAUCCCGCCUGCUGUCGCGGAGUAUACUGAACCGAAGCUGAUGACGGAGCAGGUGAUGCACUGCCCGGGCACUCCCGGCCCAAAUGACCCGGUUGGCCGCAUCGAUAACACCGCCCCUCCCGCUGAGGGCAAGCAGUAACCCUGUGGUCCCCGCCGCAAAUCACGCACGGGUAGGAAGUCCGGCCCUGUGUCUGACUCCUGCCUCCCCACCACUGUGAUCGUCGAGGUCGAGGGAGUCACUUAGAACUCGACUGCCCCGCGGAUCCACUAGCUGCCUGCUUCUUGGACUUAUCCCUUUUCUUGUCCUUCUCAAAUGCCUCGCGCUCCUCUCGCGCAAUAGCAUUGCCGCGCUCCACCCAAAGCGCGCGGUCAAGUACUUCCUCGUAGGUCUUCAAGCGGAACGUAUGAAUAACCUUGAAUAUUUCGGGUCGCAACCCGGGCUCAAAAGCCUCCGCUCGGUCCCUAUCGCCAUGAACCAAGCUCGGCACGUAGUUGAUUAGGUAUGUGAACUCCUUCUCGUACUCACGCCCCGCUCCUCGCCUAUUUGGUCGGGUUCGGGCCACGUCAAUAGACGCCGAACGGACAGAGCCUCCUCUAUCCGCCCAAGGCUCUAACAACAAGUAUAAUUAAGCAAUCAAACAAAGAGAUUUGCAAUUAUACAAGGCUUGCACGAGGGCAAGCAACAACGGAAGCGAAAGCUCUAAGCUAAAAGAUACAACCAUACAUAAUAUUUGAUUACAUUUAAAGCAAAUACUAGUAAACUAAAACUAUUACAUCCAUUUGCUUUCAUUCAUAAUAUCUUUUACAUCUUAAUCAUUCAACCCCAAAAUGCAUAAAGGUUUACAACUUUUACAUCUCUAGAUCAACAAAAUAAAGUUGAUAUAUGAACAAAACAGGUAUGACUAAAUGCAUAUGCUCCGGUGGCCACUAGAUAUGGCGCAAGGCCCUUGCCUUGAUCCUCCGCCGUCCUGCUCGCGCUCGGAUCUAUAGGGUUUGUGGUGUGAAAACUACAACGAAGUUUUCAGUUGGUUUAGCAACCGACCUCGCCGACUUACCCACUAGGUCUAUUCAGGCAUAAGUAAUCCAAAGGAAGAGAAAAGUAGCCAAUAUUAAUGCUAAUACUAUGCCUACAAGAAAUCUGUCAGUGGAUAUAUAUAAUCAAAUAUGAAUGGUUAUGCAUGUAUGCUCUUUCCAUAAUUUUACUUUGGCUUUUACCCAAUCUUACCGGUUAACCUUGUUAACCCCAAUAACUCACAACCCAAAAUUCCUUAAUAACGGGGGACUUGAACCUCCCUGGGGACCGUCUUCGGGGACCUCACUCCCCGUGGUGACUAUUCCGGAACGCACCGCUUGACGGGGAGUUACCUUGCUCAAGCCAAGACUUAUCGUGAGUAUCGAUCCAAUCCUCAACUUGAGGACAUAUAGCCACUAGCCACAAUGCCACUUUAACAAUGAUAGGUUCCUACCUUAUCAUACUUACAACUUUUGGUUAAACCUUGUUUAACUAUUCUUGUCUCAAUGUCAAUUUUGUCUCUAUUGUCAAUGUCAUCUUUGUUUACUAUUAUCAUAGGCCGGGUCUCACAUUCAUACAAAUAUAGGGUCCAACAUUCAUGUCUCUUAUGGUUCAUGUUCAAUCACUAUGUUCAUCUACAUUAGAAGCAUAUAAAUGAAAUUCAACCAAUUUUCACAUGUAAACUACCUUACCAUGCAUGAAUGACUAUUGACAUAAUGCUCAACAAAAAGGUGAAAUAGACAUAGAAGGGAAUCCAACGAUUCUGGAGUGCACCCCCGACCUCGAAUAGUAGCAUAGGAGUUAGGGUUUGAUUCUCGUAAUUUUUAGACUCCUAUUCCGCGUGCUACGGCGAUCUGUACCAAACUAGAGCCAAAUUAGGCUUUUUAUUCGAUAUCUUUGCAUAGUCUUUUUGUUUGGCCGAACCGAGCGCACCAAGGCGUCGAAAAUACCCCUAAUUAGGUUUCCAUGAGGUCAAUUUACUUCGGAAACAAUCGGAGGCAAAAGCUCCAAAUUCUAUGCCCUAACAAUGUCAUAUAUUGUUUUCUCCUAGAUUGAUCUUGUAUCUAAGCAAAUGCUAGCUUAGAAUCAACUAGGAAGCUCUCUAAUACCCUUUAUAAGCCAUUCAAAUCAUUCCUAGGGAAUCUACUAUGAACCCUAGAUGUUCACUAUGAGAGCACCUUGAGAAAACCAUAGAUUUCAUGUAUUCAAGGUCUCAACUAAGCUUCUAAACAUGAGAGAAGCUUAAAACUCUUUAGGGUGGAAAUCCAAACCCUAGAACCAUUCUUGCAAAAUAACUCACCUUAGCCCAAGCUCUUCCAAGUCCUUCUUGUUGGAGAGCUUCUAGACCCUUCAAAACCACCAAAAUAUCUCCUCCAAGCCUUCUUCUCCUUCUACUCCUUGCUCUAGGGCAAGAUCUCUAGAGAAAGAAAGAGAGAAAUGAGAAGGAGAGAUGGUUUGCUGUGUAAACAGGGAGAAAGGAGUGUGUUAGGUCAUAUAUGGUGUGCUACAAUAGCAACUAGGCCCCCCAAUAACUUAUAUUUGCAGCAGACUAAACCUUGCCGUCGGGUUCAAAGUGUACCGGUACACGGGCUACUGUCACCAGUACACUUUCUGUGCAAAGGCAAACCCGAGAGUAGCUUCUCUCGGGUUCGUAGCAUUUGUACUAGUACAAAAUAUUUUGUACCGGUACACUUUCAAAUAUUCUCAAACCCGAAAGCAAUUUCCGCUCGGGCAGCACUGUUGUACCGAUACACCCCUGGUGUUAAACCAGUAACACAUGUUCCAAAAUUUUUAGUUUCGCGCCGUUUCGACUCUAUUUCGUGUCGUUCGAUGCUAAAACUCUUCUAACUCUUUUAAACUCAUCUUUAACCCUUCCAACAUUGUUGGAAUGCUAAACGCAACUUGUCCAUCCAUCUCUUUUGCCUACUUUAGUCAAUUUGGCUAAAGUUCGAUAAUCGUUCUCGAGGUUUCAAUAUGUUACAGUAUCAAUAGUAAUCUCAUUCAGAAAUUCAAGAUACAUGGAUAAGUCGAAAUAAUUUGUAAUGUUCAUAACGCGAACAAAACGCGCCCUUAAGCUAGUGUCAUGCCCCGGGGCCGGCCCAUUUGGUCGGUUCGAGCACGUCAAACAGACGCCGAACGGACAGUACGUCCCUUGUCCGCCCAAGGCUCAACACAAGUACAAAUCGAGUGUAUAGAUUGCACAUGCGGAAACAUACAUACAUGGCUUACACGAGGGCAAGCAUUAGCCAAAAGUGAAAGAUUCUAAACUAAACAUUCAUACAAGUAAUAUGAUUAACUUUUAACCACAUACAUGCAUUCAACAUUUACAUUUACAUUCUUUUCAUUAUUUCUUUUUACAUCACAUGAUCUCCCAAAAUACAAGCUCUCUUUACAUCAUUUAUCAUAUCCAUAAUACUAACAUUAUCAAAAACAAAAGAUGAUAUAUAAGGAAUGCAACUAAAUAAGUAUGAAACCGACUCGGGUAGUCACUGUUUAUGGCACGAUACCUUUACCGCGAUCGUCGGCCGGCUCACUCGGUCCUGGCUCUGUGGAAAAUAGUAGGGUGAGAACUACAACAAAGUUCCUAGUGGGUUCGGCCGCCGACCUCGCCGACUUUCCCACUAGGUCUAAAUCAGGCAUAAUAGAAGAAUAAAUAGAUAGAUAGUAACCAAACUGUACAAAUGCAACUAAUAUGCCUGAACAAGAUAUAAUUAUAAGGAUGCUGAAAUAGAAUGCUCAUGAUGCAUGCAAGAUCACAAUUCCAUUACUCAAUCUCUUGGCUAACCCGUAGGUUUUGCCCAAAGCAACUCACCAACUCAUAAUCCCUAAUAUCGGUGAGACUACUACACUCAACGGGACCGUCCUCUGGGGAAACACCAACCCAGUGAUGACUACUCCGGAGCUCAUCGCUCGAGGUGGAGCUACCACCCUCGAGCCAAGACUUAUAGGCGAGUAUGAUCCAAUUCUUAACUAUAAGGAUGUCAAGUUCAAUCCAAUCCUUAACUCUAAGGAUGCAAUGCUCAAUCUAUUCCCUAACUAUAAGGAGGCCUCAACUAUGAGGAUGUCAUAAUCACAUAUGUCAUAAUGUCAAAUAUCUCAUUUUCUUGCAUUCUUUAACUCUCAUUAGUGCCACCUACACUAUAUGUUCUUUAUACUCAAUCCCAUGUAUUUAUUAUUCUCGUUAAUGCCACACUUGUACACUAGCAUCCAAAACUCAUUGAUGCCACUCUACUAUUGAUGUCAUAAUUUCAUUUGUUCUCAAUGUCACUAGAUUCUUUGCCUUUUCUAGGUUCUUGUCAUCAUUCAUGCAUACAUAGGGUUUUACAAGUUUUCAUUAAUUUACAACCAUCUCAUAUGCAUUUGUACUCACAACAUGCAACAACUAGCUCUCAAUCACCCUACAUGCAUACAUUCUUUAACUCUCAUUAGUGAUUAUGGCAUAUGUGAUUAUGAGGAUGUCAUAAUCACAUAUGCCAUAAUGUCAAAUAUCUCAUUUUCUUGCAUUCUUUAACUCUCAUUAGUGUCACCUACACUAUAUGUUCUUUAUACUCAAUUCCGUGAAUUUAUUGUUCUCGUUAAUGCCACACUUGUACACUAGCAUCCAAAACUCAUUGAUACCACUCUACUAUUGAUGUCAUAAUGUCAUUUAUUCUCAAUGUCACUAGAUUCUUUGCCUUUUCUAGAUUCUUGUCAUCAUUCAUGCAUAGAUAGGGUUUUACAAGUUUUCAUUAGUUUACAACCAUCUGAUAUGCAUUUGUACUCACAAUAUGCAACAACUAGCUCUCAAUCACCCUACAUGCAUGAAGCUCAAUAUACACAUAUGCUCAAGAAAUGACAUUUUAGACAUAAAAAAAAUCCGAGGAUUUCGGAAAGCAUCACCCACCUCGUAUAGUUGCUAAGGUGCUACGGUUCAAUUUUCGUGAUUUUUAGCUGCCUAUUCUCUCGCUUGCAGCAAAACAAAGCCAAAAUAGGCUUUUUUUCUCAAUUCCUAUGCGUAGACUCGUCGGAUCUUCGAACCGAGUCCACCAACACGUCAGAAAUACCUUCAAUUAGGUUUCUACAAGGUCAAUUUACAUUUAAUCCCAUCUAUGACAAAAUGCCCAAUUUUGGUGCCCUAACAAUGCCCUAUAGCAUAAGCACCAAAUAGAUCUUAAAGCUAAGCAAAAACAAGCUUAACAUCAUCUAGAAACUCAUCUAGAACUAUUCUUAGGGCUUUUAAACCAAACCCUAGAUAUCUACCAUGAGAGUUCAUGGAGCUUACCUCAAAAAGCUUCCUUUCCUUGAGCUAAGGGAGAAGAAUGAGAGAUAGCUUUGAAAGUUUUGAGGAGCCCAAGGAUCUAUCUAGAUUGUAUCUAUCACCUAGAAGGGGGGGUGAAUAGGUGUAACGGCCAAAAACCACAAAUCUUGAUGUAAUAAAAAUAAAUGCGGAAAAUAAAAAGCACACCGAGAUUUACGUGGAAAAACUCCAACUUGGAGAAAAACCCACGGGACCAACACGCGAAAAAAUAAUUCACUAAGAGAAAAGAUUACAAGGUGAUUACCGACUCCACUGACUUAACCUCUCUUAACCUCCUAUGAAUCUUCGCGCUACCCUCCGGGUUGUCCACGCCCUCACGUCCGAAUCCACGAACGCCUCCACUUCGAAUCCACGAAGCUUCAAUCACGCCGAAUCCACGACGCCACUCGAAUCCACGAGCCCACGAUCCGAAUCCACGAACCGCCGUCAAAUACGCCGAAUCCACGACGCCACCAUGAAGAAUAUCAUGAAUAUGGUGAUCCUUCGCUUUGGAGUAUCGUAGAAAACCAGGGAAUAGAACUCCAAGCGAAGCGGAGAUCAAAUCGACAUAUUAAUAUCAAAUUUCAAUAUCUCGAUUUGAUCUAAAAGAGGCUUUUUGUAGAAAAUAGGUUUUUGAUGAAAUCCGAGCCUCUAGGGUUUCUCAAAUAUGUAUUUUCGUGAUGCUUAAUCAGUUAGAGAACCCCUAUAGCUUAUUUAUAGACUUUAGAAUCAAAACAGAGUAGGAUUAGAAAGUUUCUUUCCAAAAUCAGCACCUUGUACCGGAACAAGGAAAGCUGUCCAGGGUACACCAUGACGGAAGAUUUUUCUGCGAAGCUCCUGUACCCUGGAUAGCUUCAGCUUGUUCCGGAACAGGGCUUGUACCGGUACAGCAUGAAGCUUGUACCGGAACAACCAUCAAACUUUCUGCGCAACGUUGAUGGCUGUACCCUGGACAGAAAACCCUUGUACCGGUACAGCAAUGCAAUUUUCGCUGAAAAUGCAUUGUUUCGGGUUUUACAAACUCUUAGAAACUUUCUAAUCAAUUACAACUUGAAAAUAUGAUUCUAAGAUCUAUAAAUAAGUAUGAAUCACCAUAAACAAGAUUUAAAACUUACCUACGCAUCGUGAUUCAAGUUUUGCGUGUUUUGCGUCCUUUCCGAUUCUUCGAAGUCUUGGAUUCUUCGAUCUUCAAUACUCCGCUCCGAACUUCUUCAAGACUCCGACUCGACCCACGAAACUUGCCAACACAUAGGACCUAACAAUCUCCCCCUUUGGCAAUUUCGUGACAAAACACACACAAACUCACAAAUUACAAUUUAAAGAAAAAACGAAGUUCAAUGUCAUCACCAAAACAUCGAACCCCUCGCGUGUAAUCCAAAUACAAUUUGAAACUCAAAAUUACAUCAAAACUCCUAAAACAGACUCUAUGACUUAGAUGCAAAUAGGAGUCUUGAAGUCUUGAUUUCCUGUAAAACACUUCAUUCAAAAAUGAUUAGCACUAAAUUCUUAUACCUUCUCCCCUUUUGUUCACAUCUCCCCCUUUGUUCUUGAACUUAUCAUCCUUUGCUUCAGUGUCAAAGCCUGCUCAUCCAUGCUCUCCCCCUUCAUCUACGCUCUCCCCUUUUUGUCAAAAAUUGCCAAAAGAAAGAAAAUAGAAAGAGAAAACAUACUAGAAAAACAUGAGAGUAGUCUAGUCAUAGUUACAGGCCAUAAAAGAAAAACUGAAACUAAAACAUCAUCCUAAAAUGCAAAUGCAGUGAAAGAGAAAGACUAAGCUCGACGAAGAAAUCACUCCGUGUCCUCAUCAUCAUCAUCAUCAUCUCCAGCACCAGCUCCAGAACCUCCAGCCUCAGGAGCAUCACCAGACGGUGGAAUGAGAGGAUGUCGUGAAGAUGACCGCUGAUACGAAGCAGAAGAUGGAGCAGGUUCCCAAAUAUCAUCAUGUCUACACCCCAUCUUAUCCAUUAAUCUUUUGAUACUUAACUCAAAUUUCUUGAUGCCGGACUCAACUUUCCUUCCAAUGUUGUUCACCUUCUUUUUUAACUUUCGUAAAUCUUUCUUAACUGAUUCCAGUGUCGUCGCUUCCCCUGAACUAGAUGAAGUAUCAUAACUUCCUCGAGAUGUAGGCGGAGGAGCAGAACUAGAAGCUGCUCUCGGUGGAGGUGCUGGACUAGAUGCUUCAGGAGGUGGCCCUUUGGUCUGAUGGAAUGACUUGAGAGUGCUAACCGACUUAGCCCAAGUCACUGAGUCAAUAGGCCCAAGGCCAACAUCAUACUUGUCACAAGAUGUAUCCACUCCAUUGGCUUGAAGAAUCCUCGUAAUCAGAACAGGGAAUGGUAGUAGAUCCCGUCGAGUAGCACCCUGAAUUACGUGAAUCAUCCUUUGCCAGAUCAGAAAUGGAAUGUUGAUGUUCAACCCACGAGCCUGCUCGGGAUGACCAAGUAGAUAUAGCAACACUAAUCUCUCCCAGCGGAUCCUCUUUGUGCCGAUAGUUGGUUGAACAUUGUAGCUCAUAACCAAGGAUAGCAAGUGAUACUCAGGUAAUAAGUCCUUGGAUUCAAUGUAACCAUGAGUCAUGUAAACACCGGCUUUGCAUAUAGCUCCAAGAACGAUAUCCAGGUGAGUUGAUGCUUGAAAUCCUCCUGAAGUAUAGAGAAGACCUGAAGUGUCCACAUGCAUCCCCAAGAUCUCUCCAAUAUCAUAGGGAGUAACUGGAAAUCUCCUCUGACGCACAACAGUCUCGAAGAUAAAAGUGCCUGUUUCAUCAUCUUCAGCAAGCACCUUUCCAUUCAUAUAGAACUCCCUAAUGAGUUCUACACAGAAAGGAGCCUUCGCAGGGACCCGUCCAACAGGCUCAAUAGGCGCGCGCUGUAGUAGUCGUCCAAAAUCAGGAACCUCCCGAAUCAGAUCAUGGAAGUUCACAAAGCGUUCAGCUAUGCACGACUUUGAUGCAAACAACCUUCGCCGUGCUGGAGGAACCUCUGCAGCUUGUUUUGAACGUCCCUCACGAGUACGAGAACCACCACCGUGAGAUGAUUCGCCAGCUAAACCUUUGCCUUUGUCAAGUUGCGCAAUAGGUUCUUCAGAUUCUUCAGAGGAGCUCUCCUGAUAAUCCGGAUCAGACCCGGACGCUUCUUCAGUGGUACGUGUCCUUUUAGAAACCCCAUGACGACCUCUACCACUACCACGGCUCCGUCUCCCAGCCAUGAGCACCAAAAGCACCAGUACGAGCAAAAAUGCCAUUUUCCUAUAUCAAAAAUUGCAUACAUGAACAUAAUUUCUGGAAAAAAUCUGUAAAAAUAGCGAAAAAAUUUCUAAUUACAUUAGAAUGCAUACAAAAGCUAUUUCUAACCAGAUCAUGCAAAAUAUUUCAGCAAAAAUCGAACUUUUUGAAAAAUCCCGAAAUUACAUGCACAUUAGAACAUAAAUUUUAGAUCAGCGAAAAAUAACUUGUUUUGAUGUUGUUCAAGUGUUCUACAAGCAAGGUAAUAGCCUAAGACACUGAUCUAUAGCAAAAAAUUGCAUCAAAAACGGAUUAGAACAGAGAUCAAACCCUUAUCCCGCAAAAACAGUGAAAAUAGCAAAAUCGGGAUAAAACUCACAAAUUUGAUGCUAAAAACUUACAAAUCCACAGGAAAAAUGUGUAGAACGAAUGAAGGAGAGUCUCUGGAGCUCACAGAACCAAAAAUUUUGGAAAACGAUUGAGUUUUGAGAAAGAUCGAAGCGUUAUACCCGGUUAUAUUUCGCUCGGCCGCAGACCUUGUACCGGUACACGGGUUCUUGUUCCGGUACAAGGACCAAAAUGUGAAAAAAAAAAUUUCCAAAAAUAUACUUUAAAAAUCUAUCACAUUUAAAUUAAAUUCAUAUAGUUAAGGCUUUUACUCCAAAAAUCAUUGUAAUGAAAAUAAGAUAUUAUAAAAUUUCAAAACACAUCAAAACAUCAAAAUUUCAAAAUCAAAAAUAAUUUAAUGAUUCAAAAACAUCAAGAUGUAAGUUGAUGAAAAAUGAUUUUUAGAAAUUCAACAAAAUUGACACCAAUUUGUCGCAAUACAUUCAAAAUAGAGAUUUAACUAAUAUGGCACCGGGGGUGGCUCUUUGAGCAUCUUUUUCAAACUAGCACCUUAUUACUCCGAAAAUUCUAAAAUAUUUAUAUUUUUCCAACCUUUUUCGGCUUUUUCAAUUAAAUACCAUGUGGUAGCUUCACACACUUGCCGGACGACCGGGGUGGUAGCUCUUUCCUACAUGUGGUGGUAGUUUUCACACUCCUUUUGGAUGUAACUCUUUCCACAUCUUUUUAAACUUAGGAGUUUCUUUUUCUCCUUUUUUUUUUUUUAAACAAUUUCAAACUCCCCCUAAAUUAGACAAUCUCACAAUUGAAAAUAAUUUUGACGAAUUUUAGUCAAUUAGAGAAUAUCCAUUCAUCAUAUCCAACACUCACAACCAAGAUGAAUUAAUCACCAAAAAAUCAAAUUUGAUUUCAAAAUUUUGAUGAAUUUAUGCAAUAAGAAAUCAUAUAAUAAAUUAUCGUCAAAAUAAUAAAUAGUGGAGUAAAGACGAUAAUUAAUAUGAAUUUAACUUAAUAUGAUUGUGAAGAUAAAACCCGUUUAAACAAUCUUUAAAAAAUUUCUCUCCAAAAAACGAUUCUCAAUCAUCUCCUUUCUCAAAGAUUUUGAAAUUCCCAAACACCUCUUCCUCAAAAUGAUUUUUAAAUAAACAAAAAUUCAAUGCACCAAAAAUCAUUCAACCAUGUAAUGCAAUGAAUAAAAAUAAACAACAAGCACCAAUCAAAGCAUUACACUAAAAAUCAAAAAUGACUAAGACGAGGAGCAAGGAAAGAUAUCACCUUUCCGGAUCCAAACUUGUCGGAUCGUUGGUUUUCUCGACUUGUCGACGUUAGGUGCCGUUUGUUUAGACUUUUGAUCAACCGUUGAUGUUUUCUUCGGUUGAGGCUUAGGUUGUAUUUGUCGUUGAGGUUUAUGCACCCGGUUUGCAUGAACUUGGCGUUGAGCAUUAGAA